rnacentral:rRNA from 1 species
GAUGAACGCUGGCGGCGUGCCUAAUACAUGCAAGUCGAGCGAACAGACGAGGAGCUUGCUCCUCUGACGUUAGCGGCGGACGGGUGAGUCACACGUGUAUAACCUACCUAUCAGUCUGGGAUCACUUCGGGAAACCGGAGAUAAUACCGGAUAAUCUAUUGAUCCGCAUGGUUCAAUAGUGAGAGUCGGUGUUGCUGUCACUUAUAGAUGGAUACGCGCCGCAUGAGCUAGUUGGUAAGGUAAAGGCUUUUCAAGGCGACGAGGCGUAGACGAGCUAAGAGGCGGAUAGGCGGCCUGGGAGCUGGAACACGGUCCAGACUCCUAAGGGAGGCACCAGAAGGGAAUCUGCCGCAGUGGGCGAAAGCCUGGCGGAGCAGCGCGGCGUGAGUGAUGAAGAUCUUCGGAUCGUAAAGCUCUGUUAUUAGUGAAGAACAAAUUUGUAAGUAACUGUGCACUUCUUGACGGUACCGAGUCAGAAAGCAACGGCUAACUACGUG